CACGUAGGGGGCGAGCGUUGUCCGGAUUUAUUGGGCGUAAAGAGCUCGUAGGCGGUUCGAUAAGUCGGGUGUGAAAACUCUGGGCUUAACCCAGAGACGCCACCCGAUACUGUCGUGACUGGAGUCUGGUAGGGGAGUGUGGAAUUCCCGGUGUAGCGGUGAAAUGCGCAGAUAUCGGGAGGAACACCAGUGGCGAAGGCGGCACUCUGGGCCAGUACUGACGCUGAGGAGCGAAAGCGUGGGGAGCGAA
rnacentral:rRNA from 1 species